ensembl:snRNA U7 U7 small nuclear RNA
AAGUGUUACAGCUCUUUUAGAAUUUGUCUAGCAGGUUUUCUGGUCCUCAUUGGAAGACAAUGCCCUA